AUUGAACGCUGGCGGCAUGCCUAACACAUGCAAGUCGAGCGAGCGGCGGACGGGUGAGUAAUGUAUGGGGACUGCCCGCUAGAGGGGGAUAACUACUGGAAACGGUAGCUAAUACCGCAUACUAUCGGAUAACCCAUAUGGGAUUAGCUAGUAGGUGAGGUAAUGGCUCACCUAGGCGACGAUCCCUAGCUGGUCGGAGAGGAUGAUCAGCCACACUGGGACUGAGACAGGGCCCAGACUCCGACGGAGGCCGCAGGGGGGAAUAUUGCGCAAUGGGCGGAAGCCUGAUGCAGCCAUGCCGAGUGUAUGAAGAAGGCCCUAGGGUUGUAAAGUACUUUCAGUCGGGAGGCGUUACCGACAGAAGAAGCACCGGCUAACGACGUGCCAGCAGCCGCGGUAAUUC
rnacentral:rRNA from 1 species